AGCAGCCGCGGUAAUUCCAGCUCCAAUAGCGUAUAUUAAAGUUGUUGCAGUUAAAAAGCUCGUAGUUGAAUUUCGGGGUUAGUAGGUCGGUCGUGCCACCGGUAUGUACUGGCUUUACUGAUCCCUCCUUCUUGUAGAACCGUAAUGCCAUUAACUUGGUGUUGCGGGGAAACAGGACUGUUACUUUGAAAAAUUAGAGUGUUUAAAGCAGGCUAACGCUUGAAUACAUUAGCAUGGAAUAAUGAAAUAGGACGAUCGAUCCUAUUUUGUUGGCUUCUAGGGUUGACGUAAUGAUUAAUAGGGAUAGUUGGGGGCAUUAGUAUUCAAUUGUCAGAGGUGAAAUUCUUGGAUUUAUUGAAGACUAACUACUGCGAAAGCAUUUGCCAAGGAUGUUUUCAUUAAUCAAGAACGAAAGUUAGGGGAUCGAAGACGAUCAGAUACCGUCGUAGU
rnacentral:rRNA from 1 species